rnacentral:rRNA from 1 species
ACUACACCCCUAGCUCUUAUAGCCCCACAACCCCCCUAGGCGCCGUGUGCUUGGUUUUAGGUUGGGGCGACCGCGGAGUACAAUAAAACCUCCACAAUGAAUGGGAACACCCCCUUAUCUGAGGGCCACACCCCCUAAGAAUUAGAACACUAACAUAAAAUGAUCCAUUACUUGAUCAAUGAACCAAGUUACCCUGGGGAUAACAGCGCAAUCCAUUUCAAGAGCCCCUAUCGACAAAUGGGUUUACGACCUCGAUGUUGGAUCAGGGUACCCCAGUGGUGCAGCAGCUACUAACGGUUCGUUUGUUCAACGAUUAA